rnacentral:rRNA from 1 species
AACGCGAAGAACCUUACCAGGUCUUGACAUCCUCUGACCACCCUAGAGAUAGGGCUUUCCCCUUCGGGGGACAGAGUGACAGGUGGUGCAUGGUUGUCGUCAGCUCGUGUCGUGAGAUGUUGGGUUAAGUCCCGCAACGAGCGCAACCCUUGAUCUUAGUUGCCAGCAUUCAGUUGGGCACUCUAAGGUGACUGCCGGUGACAAACCGGAGGAAGGUGGGGAUGACGUCAAAUCAUCAUGCCCCUUAUGACCUGGGCUACACACGUGCUACAAUGGGUGGUACAAAGGGCAGCGAAACCGCGAGGUCGAGCGAAUCCCAUAAAGCCACUCUCAGUUCGGAUUGCAGGCUGCAACUCGCCUGCAUGAAGCCGGAAUUGCUAGUAAUCGCGGAUCAGCAUGCCGCGGUGAAUACGUUCCCGGGCCUUGUA